CCCUAAGCUUCUUUGGGGGACCACAUCCAUGCAACUUUUCUGACUCCUGAUAGUCUGGUUCACAGUCUGGUUACAGUUACGAUACUCUCAAACUGGAGUAGGAACAGCCAGAAUUCUGUGCAGAAAGAAAAGCUGAAAGUCUACUCCACAAUUAACAAAAAGGAGCCUGUAGUGAGGAAAAAGGAGCCCUGGGAUUCCCAAGAGGUGGGCUGGAUUCAGAAAGCAGAAGAAGACCCAUCUCUGCUGGGCAGAGUUUUCUCCUGCAUUAAUUGCCCCUGAAAGAAGAUGCCGGAAAAGCAAGGCUGAUAUGUAGGGGUCAGUCAGUGAAUGAGGAUGCACCAUACCUCUGUUCAGAUCAUUGACUCAGAACCUGAAGACACGAACACCAGAUGCAAGCGAUUUCUUCAAAUUGUGUCCUUGCAAUUAUUAUUCUGAAUCUCUAUUGAAAUAUUAUCUCAACUUUAUUGGA
rnacentral:lncRNA from 1 species